rnacentral:lncRNA from 1 species
UCUCUCUUUAUUUAUUUCUCCAAUCAAGUUGCUUUGGUGAAGGCAACCCAAAAGGACCAUGCACCAUCAGGUCAAGUACAUACCAAAAUAGUUAUGGACUUAGACACUAAUCCAACAAUUAUUUCAAAGGGGCUUCGUUAGCAAUAAAUAUCCUAAAGGCAACCAUGAGGGGGACAGAGUACACCAGUGAGCACAUCGUUCACAACACCUACAGGUUAUGAGCCUGGUAGUGUUCUACAGGACAGUCUAGAAAGAGUUUGUUGUCGUCAUCCAUACUCUGCUGAAUGACUAGAUCAACCACAACAACAUCGAGGCCUCUCAUCUGUUUAUUACACACCAACUAUCUACCCAUGUUCUACCCAACAUAUUAGUAGAUAAAAAUAUACAUUUUUAUACAUAGUUUAAAACCUGUAUAGCAUGCUUUAAUCAAUACAUAUUCCACAUAACAGAUGAGGCACACACACAUAACACGUAUUUCAUAGAGAAUAAAUCAGAUCUAUGAGAUAGAAGAGAGUGAAUAUACAUUCACACAUAUAACAACAAAAUAUAUACACAUAGCACGUAUUUUAUAUAAAAUACUUCAUAAUAAUGUGUUGGAAGAAAGUAACUACACACUCACUUGAUCAAAAGAUGAUCGGACAGCACUACGGCUUGCAGAAGUAGUGUUUCUCCGUAGAUCUGGAAGAUUUUCACAAAAACCGGGCUCCUCGCGGGCAGGGCUUCGGCUCGGAAAUCUCACUUCUCGGGAUCCUCGGGGCUUCGGAUCUUGCUUCGGGGCUCGGGAAUAAUACCGGGGCUUCGGGGUAUAAAUGGCACGCAAAUCGAGGAAAAAGCUAAGAGAGAAAGGAAGAAGUUUGUAAAGGAAAGAAGCUGCCCUUGUUUGCCCCUUUUAUAGGGUUGAACCCUCGCAUUACGAUGCGCGUACUACUUCGUUAUGAUGGGCGUAAUGCCAAAAGCGUCACUGCAUGCGUCAUCGGAGUACUCGAGUGCGAGGCUGCGUCACGAUUCGCUGUAUGCUAGGCAUACAACAUUACGAUGGGCGUAACCCGGAUAAGUCCGGUGACUCCCCUUCGGAUAAUAUCAGAAGUUUAAAUUUAAAUUUAUAUUUUAAUUAUUUAAUAAACAUCAAAAAUUCAUAUCUCCCUCAUACAAACUCCGUUUUCGACGUUCUUUAUAUCCACACGUAGGUGAGACUACGCUCUACAACUUUCGUUUAAACUCUGUCGGCUAAUUUUGAAUUUAUUUUUAUUAUUUAUUUUUAGUAGGCCGGGACAGGAAAACUUCAUUAUAAUUUCAUAACUUCUUCGUCCGACGUCCGUUCUCGCCUAACUUUUCAUCGUUUCGCUACUAACAACGAGAUCUUCGAUUCUCAUUUAGAUUGUUUCAGCUAAAAACUACUCAAUCUCAAAUCGAGUAUUCGGGCUGCAUACUACCAAGUUGAAACUUCAGAAAAUCAUAACUUCCUCAUACGAAGUCAGAUUUGGGCGUUCCUUUUAUGCACACUCUCGGUUUAACGAAAUCUACGACUUUCGUUUAGAUCGCUAAGGCUAAAUAUCGCUCUANUGCAAAGAUAUCGAGUUUAUUUUACACUUAAAUUUUGACACUCAUUUUAUUCUUAAUUCAUUAAAUUAAAAUAAUUAAGAAAAUAAACACAUAAUUCACAAAUAAUACAUUUUUAUUAUUUCAAAUUGGGUUAGAAAGGUUAACCUAGACUAUUAUUUUGCUAAAAAUGGCAUGCCCAGAAAUACAGGCGUUACACUCCACCUUCUCCAAUUAUUCUCCCUAUCCCACAAGUUCAAGGUCACUCUACCCCUAUUGGCAAGCAAGGUCUAUGUAUGCUCACAUCUUGGAGAUGAAGUCACAUAUUGACAAGCCGUGAGAGUUGGGUGUCAAAGUCUUGAGAAAGUUGGAUGUCCAACCACUUUCUAAGUCAUAUAGUGUCACAACUAGCAUUUUUAGCUAGGAAAUUCUAUUCUCAUAUAAACAUCAUCCAUUGUAAAAGCAUGUACUCUAAGUGAAUACAAUACUCUAUCCUCGUUCAAAAUACACCUCAUAUGUUCAACUAAGGGUUGGAAACCUUAGUAAUCCCGGUCCAAGUUCCUUAUGAACUAAAAUUCUCCUAUUGGGCCUAAUGGACCAAUAAACCUUCAACUUGACUACUUUGGGCCAUGAUGGGCCAUAAAGGGAUUUAACUACCCCUAAUGGGCCCUAAACCCAUUUCUUUUACCAUUUUGGGCCGUGAGCCUCCUUAAGAGCCCAAUGGGCCGAAAAAUGAUUUUUGGGCCUCAUAAAUUAGAUCAAGACCAACAAUGGGCAAAAUCACCUCAUCCUCAUUUAUCUUAGCCCAAUCUCGGCCCAAGAUCAUUCCAAAACAAAAAAAAAAGAAAUAAACAAAUGGAAGAAGGUUGAUUUAAGCUUUGCCAACACAUAAUUAUCUAGCAUAUAUCUAGAUAAUCACAUACAUCUAGACACUUAUUACCCUCCAUGCAAUACUCCUUAUCUCUUCUUUUUCUCUCCUUAUUUCUCUUGGCCGAGAAGAACACACACACACACACACACUUCACUUGCAAAAAUUUCUCUUAAGCUCUCAAGAACAACUCCUCCAUCAUCCCCCAAAAAUUUCGAGAUUUAGGGUGUUUACAAGAGGAUUUUUCACCACAAACUCCAUACUUGGGUAAGUUAUUAUCAAACACCAACAUCUCCUUUCAAUGUAACCUUAAGAACUCCUUCUUACAUAACUUUAUUCCAUGAUCACACCUUAGAAACUUCAUAUGCUCAAAAACUACUUCAAGGUGUUACUAGGACUAAAAAUCUCCUCAUAUCUUCUUCAAAACCGAAACAUCAAAGCAAAGGUGAGCUUCAUACCCCCUUAUUUUCGGUUUUUAUAAGUUUUGUGGGGGGAGAAUACAAGCAAAUGUGUAGAUCUAUGAUUAUGUGUAUGCUUUGUAUGAUUUCUAUGUUUAUUUACAUAUUCUUAUGUGUUCAUGGUGUUGAAACUAGUCAAAAAGACCUUAAAAUCGAGAUUUGCAUUAUGAUGUAUGAAACAAAUGCUAAACAUAUCAUUAAACAUAAGUCACUACUAGAAAAAUAACCAAGUUGGUUAAGAUGAACUCCUUGGGCUAAAAAUCUCAUUUUUGGACUCAAAAUGCUAAAAAUAUGAAAUUUAAGGGCCCAAAAUGUAAAAAUACAAAUUCUGAGGGUUGAUAUGUGUCAAAACAGUUUCAUCAAGGGAUUUUCCAGAAAACGUACACUUUGGAAUGAUUAAAAUGUAAAUUUUUAAGCUUAAUGGGCUAAAAAUGAACUUUUCGGCCCAAUAAGGCCCAAUAUGCGAGAUUUGCAAAGUUGAGGGGCUGAAAAUGUAUUUUUCUGUAAAACAGGGGACUACUAGUGCCCCAAGUCCAUUUCAAAGGUUAAAAAUGCUUUUCAUAUUCAAAAGGGACCAAAGAUGCAAAAAUUUUCUAUUUUGGGCCAAAAGUGUAAAAAUUGCGAAAACAUGGGUUUCAGCUGAAAAAGUUUCAUUUUGAGGGACUAAAACUGUUUUUCAAAAAGCUUGGAGCUGAAAAAUACCUUUUCCACAAGUUUUGAUACUAAAGUGUCAAGAAAAACGUUAGAGGACUAAAAUAUAAAUUCUUUUAUAUAAGGGGUCCAAAAGUGUAAAUUCAUCCAAAAGAAAGGGGCUGGAAAAUGUAAAAUACUAAUGUCUUAAAUAAUGAACCCGACACGAUGAAAUACUAGUACCUCGACUAUCGGCGAAAUUCAAUACACCUUCAACACCAAAAUCGUUAUCAAACGAAUUGAUUCGGUCUCGAAUCAAUAACAAUCCGAAACUACUAACACGACGAUAUUUCAAUACACACAUGGAAAUCUCAGAAACUCAAUACACACACGGGAAUACACCAGACGUCGAUACACUGUCCUUGGGCCCAAAAGUUUCAAAUCAUGCUUGUUGGGCCUAGCUAGCCCGAUGACAUGAUCUUUAGGCCCGAAGGAAACUCGCUUACAUGUAGUUGGGUCUUAUAUGACCUAAUUUCGUGUAAAAGGACUUUUACAGGCUUUGUGUUGUUGGACCCCAAGGGCCUUCUGGUGCUGCUAGUAAAGUCGAGAAUUCACCAAAUGCGAGUCGGGCUAAGGGUCCUUCGCAUUCACGAUAGCCUUGAACGACGUAGGGAAAUACCGGGGUUUCGCACCCUCUUUUUCCCCUCGGUUGUGGGGCUACAUGAGUCCGGGUGGUUGGGUUAAGUGAAUAGUGCGAGCGACGCCUAAGGGAUCCUUUGUACGGUUGUCAACUAGUCAUUUUCAUUAAUGUAGGUUUACAACAAUUCACAAUCCACAAUUAAUCCAACGACUCCGGAGCUCAACGAAUACACCUGUCGUAACGAAAUAACAAAACAUAAAUUAUUUAAUGCAAAGUAUUAGGAAAACGUCGGGUUUUCCUAGGGUUUUCAAUUAAUACACCUACGAACUACAUACCGAGUUUUACAAAUCGUACUUUUACAUUUAUAGAAACAAACAAGGAUACUUACGGAUCUUCACACUUUUUAUACUAUGACUCUUUUCAGAAGAUAUCGGAUUUUCUGGUGAAUUUCAAAACAAUACAAACCAUUAUAUUUCAAACAUUACUUAUGAACUCACCAACAUUUCAUAUGUUGACGUUUUUCAAAAUACUUGUAUUCUCAGGUAACAGGUAGAUCGAAAAGGAAAAAAAUGUACCCAGUGAUGUCUUGUUGUUUGUUUAACUAGUAUUGAACAAUCUACUUUUGAGAAUGUAAUGUUUUGAAACUAUGUACUGAAUGUAAACGCUACCAGUUGUAAUAUUCCAAUGCUUGGUAUUGUAUGAUGUUAUGUUUCAUGUAUAUUCAUUGUGAUGGUAUUCAAUUGAGUCACAACAGCCCUCGGAUGUUUCCGCCGUCUGGUUCGGGGGUGUGACAUAUAGUGAGUUCAUUUGGGACUCUUAUGAAACAGACUAUGCCAAGACCCUUAAUGAUCUUAUCUAUUUUCUAAGAUCAACUUCCCAAAACUUUAUGAACAUUGACAUUGAUAACAUUGGAAAUCCAGAAAAACAUUCUCUUCGGAAUGGAAAGGGAUCGGCCAUAGUCAAUUCAGUUGACCAAAUGGUAAAGAGAAAUGCUAAGUCUGUGAUAGUCCCAUGUACCAUUACCAUAGAGUCCAUAUGUUAAAUUGCCAAAGGAAGGGACAUUAAUUGUGAAGCUGCCAAUUUUUACCUAAGGAUGUUAAAGUCAAUAAGUUUGACUCUACUUCAAGUAAAGUCCACUAUCUAACUUUGUUAAGUUUCUAUUCGGAUAUUCUUGAUACAUGAUGUGACUGGGUCACAUGUUGAUGUUUUAAGAAUCGAAGAAAAGUGAAGAAACUUAAAGAAAGAAUAUGUUGAAUCUGAUCGCGUAGAUGGAUUUCUAUCACAUAGUUUGAAGAUCGGAUUCGUGAGCUACUUCUUAGGAGUUAUGAUAUAUUGCUUAGGAAUAGAUAACAACAAAGUUUUCAUGUGCUUUGCACUUAAAGGAUAGUUUUCCGUAAUGUUUUUAAAAUAAAAGGAAAAAUUUUGAUUUUAUUUAUUUUAAAAUAUCCUUACAAUCCAUAUUUCCAAUAUUGCUAUCAAUGGAAUUUGUGAAAAACUUUGUUGCUUAUAUGAUUCCAUUAAUAGCAAUAUUGGAAAUAUGGAUUUGAUUCUUUCAUUUGUGGUAGUGUCAAAAUUUACCAAAUAAGGAAAGAUUCUCAUCACCCAAGUUUCAGUUGGAUAGAAACCUGGAAUCAUGCAAGUUGUAUGAUGAAUGAGAAUUUUCAUCUUUGGAAAAUUAAGACUAAUUCCUUGUUCACAUGUUUAAGUGAGUCAAGUAAAGGACUAAGGGAUCGAGUACACAUUCUUGUGUACUAGUCAAGUCCACCACAAAAGAUCGAUAAGACUAUUCGACAUGAUUUACUAAAGCUCAUUAAAUAUGGUUAUACUUACAUGUUUAAAGUAUAAUUCAGAGACAUUGGAAACGGUUCCAAUGUAUGGCAGAGCGAAUAAGAAGAAUCAACUUAGGCAGAAGGAUAAAAUUUUCUCAAAUCUGAAAAGAUGGGAGAGUACUUUAGUACCAUGAUAUAUGAUCAUCUUAAAUAUUAAGAGAUCUCAUCACAAUUCAUCCUCUAAGUGCAUUCUAGUAGCUAAGAAGAGGAGUUAUGAACUGUUGAAGUGGUUAAAUCAAGAAGAUGAUUCAUACUUCGUUCCAAAAACAAUUCUUAGAGUUAUACUCCAAGAUUGUAAUUUGAGUGACACAUAUUAAAGAAGGUUUACUAACACUAGUCAAAUGUAAGAGUAAAAGGUUUUCUACUCUUGUACAUUUGAAAUUGGAAAGUUGUGAUGUUUUGGAUAAAACAAAGACCAACAUAGACCAAUUGUUUGAAGUGUUUGUCUUGAUUAGAAUCCACACUAUCUCUUGAAUAUCAGAAAAGAAAGUCGUAUAUGUCAAGAGGACAGUGGGAGUCUUAAAGGUAUUGAAAGUCUCAAGAACUAAUCAAGAAUAAAACUUGAAGUUCUUCACUAGCACACGACUUGAGGUUUAUAACUUAUCGUGUUGACAUAUUUCUAUUUUUGUGCCCAUUCCAGUUAAAGUUGGCUUUGCAUAUAAGUUCUUAGAGUUCUCAAUUGGUUGCAUAACAACUUGGAAGCAAUGGCAGGCCCUUGAGCUGCUAGGUGGCAAGAAAAUAAGAUUGAGUCCAGUCCAUAUGAGUUUAGAUUUGUCAUUAUCCUUGUCUUGUGACUAUGGUUUUGACAAUUCACAUGGAUAAGAACACAUACACCAUAAAAUCUAAGGUUCAUAAGGUUUCUCUCCCAUUCAUGAAAAUGGUGGUGAGGAAACAUUUCCACCAAGUAGAUUUUAACUAGAUAGCAAUUGUGAUAUUUGCAUUCUCAAAGUCGUUAGUGGAGCGUGUGUGGUUAACCGGCACACUAACAUGGACUUUUGAGAAGUGGAAAAGGUCUAAACAAUCGAGACUAUGAUUACGGAAUUGUUUAGACACACCUACGAGCUAUCUAAGAUAAGGUGUAUGAUAUUGUUAAAGUUUUAUCAAAGCAAUCUAGUAUCAGAAAUUUGAACUUUGGUAAGAAAGUCAAUAAAGUAUUGAUUUCUAGAAGUCCAGUUGAAUUCUGAGUACAUGUCAAAGCUAGUAGGAGCAUAAGUGUUAUGCUAAUAAUCAUCAUGUUAGUGGGAGCAUGAUAAUUAUGAUAAGUAUUGCAAGUUAGCAAUGUUAAUUAUAGAAAACAAAAGUUUCAAUUCGUUGAAAAAUGUGUUUUGCUAUAAUUAAGGGAGAGUAAAUUAUACUUCAUGUCAAUUCUAAAAGGCUUAGAGUAAGUAUUUAAGCUUAGAUUGAGAUUUUAAUCAUCUUUAGUCAACAAUAUAUAUAUAUGUAUAUAUAUAUAUAUAUAUAUGAAUUUCAUGUUGGAUUCGUUCAACAUAAGGAAAUUCUAUAUAUUGCGUUCUCAAAAUACGAUUAUGAUUACGGCAUCCCUCUUCAUAGUCAAAUCUUGAGAACAUGGCAAAUAAAAAAAUAUUGUAGCAAAAGAUUGGUCUAGAAUCAUGUCUUUAUGGGAGACAUCAUGAAUCAUGUCCCAUUUGCCUUGGGUACAGGAUCGAUUGCAUGUGCUAUAAUAUUUAUCCUUUCUAAAUUUUCCAAAUUCCUGGGGCAUUAAGAGGGGAAAGGUCUAGAAUUGGAUUUGAAGUGAUUAAGGAAUUGUCGAGGACAAUCUAAGGUUUUACCAAGGAUUGGUUCCUCAAGGACAGUUAGAAGUAUAGUGUUGACUUUGGAAGGACCAUAUUGACCUAAUCUGAAAAGAGGCAACUGUUGUUCAGAAGGGGUAGUCAAAAUGGGAAUAUGGAGUUAUCUCCAUAGAUGGAAGCAAUAUGUGUAAGAUUAGAAAAAAAAACUAGUGCAAGAAGCAUGUUCAAAGCAAUGCAUAAUUUAAACAUAACACUUUGUUUCCAUGGAGUAGACCUUCAUUGGAAUACCCUGUAAUGACUGUUGACAAGUCUUUGUGACAUUGUACAUGUUCAUUACAAGAGGGUAGUGCAUAUAAGUUUAAAUCUAACAGAUUUCAAUAAUUGAUAAGAAUUUGGAAUUCUUACGAUAAGGAAUUGGGAGUGUCAAAUUAGAAUCACGGUUCAAUUGGUUUAUUUCACAAAGUAAAGAUCAUAGACAAACUUGGUAUGCAUAGUUGGAGUAUGGCAUAACUAAUGUUUAGACAAACAUAGAGUGCAUACUUGGUGUAUGGCAAAGCUAUUGUUUAGAAAAACAUAAUGUACAUGCUCGGAGCAUGGGACAACUAGUGUUUUUAAUUCAAGAAUAAAGUUGAUAGUUGAAACAGUAUGCAAUGAAUAAUGUGUAAUCAUAUGGUGAUAAAUAAAAGGUGUUUUAUUUAUAUUCAUAAGUUCUGAGACCAUAUUGGAUUCAAUUAUUCUUGUAUUUCAUUUUGUAUGUUUUGACUUCCAGGAUAACUAGGUCGUUCUUCCUGAAAGACUAAGUUAUUCAAACCAUCCACAGUCGGUCAUAUGUUGGAAGUAGAUAUGAAUCAAGACUAUCAUGGUUUGGGCUUGUAGAGGUCUAAGAUGUUGGACAAGGUGGUGCUACAACAUUCAUGAGUGCUCAUAAGUUCUGACUAUUGGAUUCAACCCGCGCUCAUUGGAAUCACUUCAUGGAUUUUAUCACAAGUGAUCAUGAGACGAUAAUAUCUUAUAUUCUUUAAACCUAGAGAUAUGAGUUGUUACUAUGAGUUGGUUGUACAUUGAUUGCACGAAAACGCAUUGGGAACUCGAUGUUAUAAAACGUGCCUUUGUGUAUGAUUCAACAAGUAGUAGAACAAGCCAUAUGAGUCGAAGUUUAUCCAUUCCUUUUACCUUCGGGAUAAAAGCAAUAUCUGUGGGCCCCUCGAUGAUUUAAUGAUGAUACAUGUGAGUGCUUGGCCAAGCCAGGACUAAUUUGAUUUGUUCAAUCAGUCAGUAUCAUGAAUCGGAAAUCAAGAAACAACAGAUGGACAGAGAGAUGGAUUUAUAAUCCAUGUCUCAGUCCAUAUGAUAUCUAGAAUGGAGGAAUAUAUGAUCCCUUAUCUAAUGGACAAGUCAUUGACAAAGGUCAGAGAUCAUCGGCAAGGUCCGAGUUCGACAGCAGCUUUCGAGAGCUGUGAUUGCUAGUCGGGUAAUGAAGUCGUACUUGCAAUAAUAGUUUUAGANUGGGAGACUGUUGGAUUAAUGUCUAAGUCCAUAACUAUAAUUGGUAAGACUUGACCCGACCCGACAUGGUCCAUUUGGGUUGCAUGGCAUCAUGCAUUUGGAUAGACUAUAAUGAGAGAAAUAACACUUAAGGUUGGUUAAUAUAUUAUAAGUUCUAAUAUAUUAAUAAGAUUAUUUAAUUAGUAUUGAUCAAGAAUUAAUCUAGUAUUAAUUAAGUGAUAAAAAUAAGACUAAUUAAAUAUAUGGGUUGAUUGUGUAAAUCAUCCAUACUUAUAUAGUGGGCUAAUGCUCCAUGGAUUGUCAAGUUGGGCUAAAACCCAUAAGAUGCUCCAUGGUGUAUUUGUACCCAUGGAUCAUGGAAAUGAAAGGCCAUGAAUAUUAGGGUUUACAUGGUGUAACCCUAACUAUAUAAUGAUCUUAUUCUUGGAGAAAAUUGGCCACUAUGUGUGAGAAAAAGGUCUAGCCGAUUUUCAUGAAGUGUGUAAGUUCUCUUAAGUUAUUCCAAGCGUAUUUGGUGUUGUGUGAACCGUUUGAGGUGUCACGCUUGGGGCACUAGGCACUGAAGCUUCAUGAAGACAUUCUACAUCAAAUAGGUAUGUAAUUCUAACUUGAUAUAUUCAUAUAAAUCAUUGUUAUUAUGCUAGUUAGGAUGAAUACCUUGGAAAGUUCAUAUUUGCAUGUAUAAUAGAGAAAACAUAGAUCCAAGGUUUUUAUGGUUGCAUCUACAUUUAGGAGUGUUAGAAUGCUCAAAACCCAAUAGAAGAAUGUGACAUUUUGGUGGGGCCUAGAUCAGCAGUUGGCUUUCGAGACCUUGAGACAGAGGUUAUGUGAGUCCUCGUUUUUAUUACUACCCUAAGGCUUGGAUGACUUAGUGGUGUAUUGUGAUGCAUCUAUUAUAGGGUUAGGGGUUGUUUUGAUGUGGAGAGGGCAUGUGAUCGCGUACGACUCAAGGAAGUUGAAGCCUGAUGAGGCGACCUACCCCACUCAAUACCUGGAAUUAGAGACGGUGGUGUUGGCCCUCAAAAUCUGGAGGCACUACUUGCACGGAGUUCAUUGCACCAUCUAUACUAACCAAAAAGUUUGAAAUAUUUGAUGGAUCAGUAAAACUUUAACAUGCAGUAGAGGAGGUGUUUGGAUGUACUAAAAGAUUACGAUUGCGAGAUUUUAUACCACCCAGGAAAGGCCAAUAUGGUGGUCGAUGCUCUGAGCCGUAAGGCGACAAGUGCUCCUUUUUAAGAUGUUUGUCUGAGGAUGAAGGUGAUUUCCCCGUUGUUUGAUAUGGUCAAGAAGGCUCGGGUGGAGGGUUUGAAGAGAGAAAAUUGGAAGUUAGAGCGGAUUCGGGGUCAGAUUCCCUUGUUUGUUCGGGAUGGUUGGGGUCUUUUGACACAGUGUGGUCACGUGUGGAUACCUGCAUCUAGGCGAGUGACACAGAAGAUCUUUGAGGAGGCACACAAGUUCAAGUUCUUUAUUCAUGCGGGGGCUACAAAAAUGUAUGGAUAUCUGAGGUUGAGUUACUGGUGGCCCUGCAUGAAGCAGGAGGUCGCUAGGUUCAUGGAGCGGUGCUUGACCUACAGGAAGGUAAAGGCCUCACGGCAAGGUCCAGCCGCUACCAAUUUCCAUGCGGAAAUGGGAAGAUAUCACCAUGGACUUCAUCACAAAGUUACCAAGGACGACGAGGGGAGUGGAUUCCUUUUGGGUCAUUGUGGACAGAUUGACGAAGAGUGCCCAUUUUAUUCCGAUCUCUAAGUGUAUAUCUGCUGAGAAGUUAGCUGAUAUCUAUGUGCGAGAGGUGGUAGUCAGGCACGAAGUGUCGGUAUCCGUGGUAUCAGACAGCGAUGUCCGAUUUACCUCCAGGUUUUGGACGAAGUUCCAUGAAGAAUUAGGCAUCCAGUUACAUUUCAGCACUGCCUACCAACCUCAGACCGAUGGUCAGAGCGAGCGGAUGAUUCAGACGCUCAAGGAUAUGCUUCGAGCUUGCAUAUUGGAUUUCAGAGGGAGUUGGGAUACAUACCUCCCACUAGCAGAGUUGUGUUAUAACAAUAGUUAUCAUGCCAGUAUUAACCGACCCUCAUUUUGGAUGUUGUAUGGUCAGAGGUGCAGGAAUCCCGUAUGUUGGGGCGAGGUAAGGCAUCGAGUCAUGGGAAGCACCUAGGUGGUGCUCAAGACUAUCGAGUUGAUUCAGUGGGUAUGCGACAGACUACAAGUCACACAGAGCCGUCAGAAGAGUUAUGCUGACCGGCACCGAUCGGACCUCGUGUUUCUGGUGGGAGAUUUCCUCUUGCUGAAAGUGUCACCAUGGAAGUAUGUCAUUAGGUUUCGGAAGAGGGGCAUGUUCGGGCCCUGAUUUAUUGGUCCAUUCAGGAUUUCUGCCCGAUUCGAUAGGGUUGCUUAUCAACUGGACCUUCCGGACAAGUUGAAUCAGAUUCAUAACACCUUCCAUGUAUCCCAGCUUCAGAAGUGUGUCAGUGACGAGGCUGUAUUUAUCUCUUUCGAUGACAUUCAGGUAGAUAAGAGCCUGAACUACAUUGAGAAACCCGUUGUAGUUUUGGAUAGGAAGACUAAGGUUCUUCGUAACAAGGAGGUGAAGCUAGUGAAGGUGCAAUGGCAGCACCGAAAAAUCUCUGAAUGGACAUGGGAGUCGGAGGAUGAGAUAUGGGAGCAUUACACGGAUCUGUUUGUGUCUGCGUAAUUUGAGGAUGAAGUCUAGUCCAAGUGGGGGAGAGUUGUAACACUCCAAAUCAGGUAAACCGUUCUAACCCAUCGAAAUUAUUUAAUUUGGAAAAAAAUGGUCCUUUCUGUACGUUGGGCGUACCUAAAUGUACGCUUAGCGUACUAUGGAGGAAGGAUCGUGAAGGAAUAUUGACUACGUGGGGCAUACACGACAAAGGACCAAAACCCAAAAACCUGGACAUGAGACAUAUUUAUUCAUCCUUAAGCCACUUAGAUACUAACUAGACCGUCGGAGCUUCAUUCUAGGAUCCCCUCGCGGACGACGACUGGCGUCUAUUCUUUCUUUUCAAUGAUUCUCAGGCUUAACCCAUGUAACACUCCAAAUCAGGUAAAUCGUUCUAACCCCUUGAAAUGAUUUAAUUUGGCAAAACUGGUCCCUUUUGUACACUUGGCGUACCUAAAUGUACGCUUAGCGUACUAUGGAGGAAGGAUAGCGAAGGAAUAUUGACUACGGUGGGCGUACGCGACAGCGGACCAAAACCAUAAAACCCAUACUUGAGAAAUAUUUACUCAUCAUUAAGCCACUUGGACUAAACCCUAAACAGCCUUUAGAGUCUCAUUCUGUCCCUUUACAUUAGUUUUCCUUUGAGAAUGUUAUUUUCGAGCAUAGAAGUGUGUUGGUGGCCAUUUUGGAGCUUAUUCGAAAAGAAGAAGUUAGUGAGCAAGCUUGGUGUGGCAUUGUGUCACACCCCCAAACCUGAACGGCGGAAACGUUCAGGGGCGGANNNNNNNNNNNNNNNNNNNNNNNNNNNNNNNNNNNNNNNNNNNNNNNNNNNNNNNNNNNNNNNNNNNNNNNNNNNNNNNNNNNNNNNNNNNNNNNNNNNNAUUUUGGUCGUUACAAAGAGUUGAAAUAUCGGGUUGUCACACAUUGGGCUUCAAGAACCUGCAUCUACGUCACCUUGAGGAGCUUAUGGAGGUAUAAAGUCUUAAUCUUGACAUCUUAUUCAUUAGAUUGAGUUAGGUUUUUCAAUAUUGUCCCCUUUUUGGUUCUUGGAUCUUCUCUUGAUACUUGAGCAAAUCCAGAGACUAAGAUUGUUAGAUCUAAGCUUUGUGAGCACGCUAGAUGCAUAAAGGUGCUAGCUUGAAGGUUAUCUAGAGUCCAUGCAUGAGUUUGAAGCUUUAUAUGAAGUCCUAAUGUGAAGAAUGAAGUCUUGAAGUCCCUUAUAGCAUGAAAGGGCAUAAAGUUGCCAACUUUAUGCACUAGGACGUCUUAAUGAGAUCAGAUGUGAUAUUGUACGUUAGAAUAUCAAGUAUUAGGCACCGAAUUGAAUUUGUUGCUUAAUCUGCUUGUACGUUGGGCGUAAUAUAGCGUACGCAGCGCGUACAACCUAGGACUCAGUACGUUGAGCGUACUGAAGUGGUACGCUUGGCAGACGCACCCUAGUUGGUUUUGGGUUUUGUGUAGGUGUGUAAGCCCUUUGGGCCUUAAUCCAUUUUGGUCCUAGUCAUAUUUUAGCUUAGUGGUUCGAUUAAUCUGUUUUGGGCCAUGGUUGUCUUGGUUGGGCCUUAUUGGGCCAUGUGGCCCAUUAAUAGUUUUAGACAUGGAGUUUAGGCCCAUUAGCAAGGGAAGACUCUUGGGCCAUUAUGAAAGGACUUGGGCUUAGGUGAUUGGGUUCUUUAAUUAGAUUAUAUUCAAUCCUAAUUUGGGGUUAAUGAUAUUAUUGUUCAGCGCGGGUGGUUUCGGAUAGUUAGGCGAGAAGCUUUCGUGUUCAGUAGACUAAGGUGAGUCUCUUCACCAUACCAAUAGGUUGAAGGCACCAAGGCCGGCCCAUUAUGUGUUAUGUGGUAUGCUAGUCGAUUAUAUGGUAUGUGGUAUGCUAGUUGUUUCUGUUUUACUUGCAUGAAAGAUCUCAGGGGGUUCCCAAGGCAAUUGGAUAUAAGACCAUGUGGGGGUUCACAUGGCAUUCCAGGCUAAGACCAUGUGGGGGUUCCCCUGACAUUCCAGACUAAGACCAUAAGGGGGUUCCCAUAGCACCUAAUGUAAGACCUUCGAGGGUUUCCAUGGCAUCCUUAUUUAAGAUCAUGUGGGGGUUCCUAUGGUAGUGGGCUAAGACAAUGUGGGAGUUCCCAUGGCACCCGGAGUAAUACCUUGGAGUGUUUCAAAAGCAUCCUUAUAUGUUUGUAUGCACGGCUUAUGUAGCUUAUAUGGCUGAUACGGUUUAUGUAAUUAUGUGGAUUGUGUGAGGUAUGUUAUAGGGAACUCACUAAGCAUUAGCUGAGAGUUUGUUGGUUGUUUUAGGUACUUUAGGAUCUAAGGGCAAGAGCCCGGCGUGAUGGCGCGGCAUGCACUCACUGGCGUUUUUAUUAGGGAGACUCUUAUAUUAUGAAUAAAUUGUCUGGUGUUAUGGAUUUUGAAAACUAAUGUGAUUGGAAUUUUAUAUUUUACGGAAAUGAUUUCGUUACUUAAAAAUGAAAUAUAUAUAUAUAUAUANNNNNNNNNNNNNNNNNNNNNNNNNNNNNNNNNNNNNNNNNNNNNNNNNNNNNNNNNNNNNNNNNNNNNNNNNNNNNUAUAUAUUGGAAAUUUGGGAUGUUACAACCCAAGCAAGGCAUCCAGUGAUGGAGUUAAGCUCCGGCGACAUAUCACAACACAUACUAUGCAAAAAGAAUCAACUAUCAUAAAACAAACAUCUAAGGAAAGGAUCUUAUCAUGGAAGAAGAUGAUAGUGAUGGUGCAAACAUCAAAUUCUGGUCCACUAUUUCGAAAGAUGAAGAAGUCUUAAGGCCAACUUAUGGAGCUAUAUUUGUGACUAGUGGCUUUUGUGCAAGUAAAAGCAAGAGUAAAUGUCUGAUGGUGAAGAGCUCAAGCUCUGAUUGCUCAAAAUGGAACUCCAAAGCUAAUUUGCGGAUUGGAGAUUCUGAUUCAAACUCCCCAUCUACUUAUCUUUCCACAAAUAGCGUUGGUGAACAUGGGGAAUCAUGUGAGAAGGUUUUUGAAAAGGUACAUUUUAUCCUUAAAUCUUUAAAUAUUUCAACUUCUUGUUAUGAUGAUGAAUUAAAUGAAUUAAGAGAAACCAUUUCAGAGUUAAGUAGGAACAUAAGAUGGAAUUGGAGAAAAGUUGUUAAUCUUAGUGAUGGUCUUAGCAAGUGUUUAUCUAAGAAUGAAGAGAGAAGAAUUAGAAUAGAGACCUUAGAGUCUGAAAUGAUCAGAAUAAAAUAUGACGUGGUUGUAAUGAAAAGUGACAAUAAAAUGUCAGUAAAACAAAGAAUUAGUUUCUGUCAAAUAACCAAAUGAUUUUAUUCUCAAUUAACAGAAUUAUGUCAUAAUAGUGAAAUUUUUUAAGAAGUACAUCAUGAUAUGCUAACAUUUUUGGAAUUUAAUGAAGAAUAAAUUGAUGUCAUAUCUUACGAAUGUGAAUCCCUAGUCUUUUCUAAUGACUUAUUGAAUUAUUCUUAUAGAAUAGGCAUUGAAAAAGUUGAAGAACUUUUUGAAAAAUAAACAAAUCAAGAAAAUGAUGAAUGAAACCUUAACCAAUGAUGAAAAGAAACAAAUUGAAAAGGAAUCUAAUUAUUUUCAUUUUUUCUUUUGUAGUAGUUGAAUUGUGACGAGUCUCACAAUGAUCAAAAUGAAUCUGAUUUUGUUGAGAGUAAUAUUAGUCAAAUUUAUGUCGAAGAUGGAUUAUUCAAAUUUUGCGUUAUGAAAAACCAAAAAAAGUUAAUUCAUGAAGAUUCAUUGGAUUAAUAAGACAAAGAUUUUUCCUUUUACAUAUUCAAUAUCUCAAAUCUCACAAAAGCCCAAACAAUUUUAGGUGAUUCAUGAUGAAGAGUAUGAUUCAAAAUUUUGCAUUCAUAACGAUUGUUUUUGUCACACGACUCAAAGGAAAUCACAUUUGAGAGAAUUUAGAUCUUUGAAAGGUGGUGUAAGUGUCAAGUUUGGAAACAAUGAAAUAGCAAUACCCAAAGGAUAUGAAAUGAUUACAAAUGGAGAAGUUACAAUAUGAAAGGUAGCUUAUGUAGAACGUUUGAAACAUAAUAUAAUUAGUGUUUCACAAAUUGUUGUAAGUACAUGUCUUAAGGUCUCAUUUGAUGAAAGAAGCUUAGAGAUAUAAUAUAUAUAAUCCAAGAAAUUGAUUGUGAAGUCAAAGCAAAAAUUGGAGUUAUAUCCUUUAGAUUUGAAACGGAUUGAAGGAAAUCGAUCCAUAUGCCUACUCUUGAAAGUUACUGCUUUUGAUAGUUGGUUGUGGAAUCGGAGGUUAUCACAUCUAACUUCAAAGACAUCAACAAACUUGUUCUUGGUGACUUAGUCUAUGGUCUUCCAAUACUCAAAUAUGACAAAGAACAUUUUUUUGCUACUUGUGAACUAGGAAAACGAAAUCGAAAAAUCCAUGCUUCUAUUAUGUUUACAAAAAAUUUUGAUCUUGUAGAAUUACUUCAUAUUGAUCUAUGUGGUCCAACCUCUAUUGAAAGAAUUGGUGGUAACAACUACAUUCUACUUAUUAUUGAUGAUUUUUCUAGAUUUACAUGAGUUUAUUUUCUUAAGCAGAAAUAUGAAACCACACAAAAGAUGAUUGAUUUUUUGAAGCAUAUUUAAUUACAACUCCGAAAGCCUGUGAGAAAAUUUUGAAGUGAUAAUGGUACAAAAUUCAAAAACAAAUUUUCUAAGGAACUCAUGAAAAACAAGGGAAUCAAUCACAAUUUUCAUCAGCAUACACACCUAAAAAAACAAAGAUGUUGAAAGGUGAAAUUGAUCUCUUUGUGAAGCUGCAAGAACUAUGCUUUCAUUUGCAAAUUUGCCUCUUUAUUUUUGGCCGAAUGUCAUUGGAACUACAGGUUUUAAACAAAAAAAUCUUACAUUUACAAAUUAUUUUUUAUAACUCCAUAUGGGAUAUUAAGUAAUUGCAACCCUAACAUAAACUCUUUCAUCUUUUUGGUUCUAGGUGUUUUAUAUUCAACUCCAAAGAGCAUCAGAACAAGUUUGAUGUGAACGCCGAUGAACCAGUUUACCUAGUUUAUUCUUUAACAUCAAAAGCUUAUCGAGUUCUUAAUAAGAAAUCUCGAAAGAUAGAAGAAAGUUAUUGUGUUACAUUUGAUGAUAAAUACAUCAUAUCUUUUCAAGAAACAUAAAUUUCAUGUGAAGAGAUUUUCUCUCCAAAAUGUAGCAUCCCAAAAAUUAUAAAAAAAAAAUUCAUUUUUGUAAAACAUAUCCACAAACCAAAUUAACCAUUGUUUCAAGCAAAUCCAUAAAAUCAGAGUAUCAAAAUUCCCUCAAAACAUAUAUCAUCUAGAAGAUGUGUAUGAUCAUGCCUUCGCCUUGCCCCAAUCCUCUGAUGUAUCUAAAACCGUAAAACCAACAAUUGUAAGCCAAAGCUUAGCGAGUUCUCUCAAAGUACCAAACACAACAAUAUGUAUGUGUGUGUGUGUGUAUAUAUAUAUAUAUAUAUAUAUAUAUAUAUACAUAUAUAUAAUGAGUGCACGAUGUGCCCACAACAACAUACUGCAUUGCCCCUUAGCCCAUAGCAAGAGGACAGAUUUCCCUCCCGGCCCAUAGCUCAUGACUUACUUGCUCCUGAGCCAAUAACAUAAGACUGGAUUUCCCUCCCAGCCCUAAUCUUACGAUUGGAUUGCUCUUGGGUUUGUUGGCCUACAGCACAAUGUAGUACCGCCUCAACCCAACCGCACUUUGUCUGUCACACCCCAAAACCGGAACGUCGGAAACGUUCGGGGGUGGAGGACGUCACGUUCGGGGGUGGAGGACGUCAUGUUAAGUACCAUUUCAUUUUAAAAGAAAGUGUUUACAAUGUGUGUUCACAAAACAUAGAAUUCAUACACAAAUAACAAAACAAGGCUUGAAGCUGUAAUGCUUCAUCUUCUAAAUCCCCAGCACGAGCACCUGUCUAAUAGCCUCCUGAGAAUACAAGUUAUUUGAAAAAGUUGAUCAGCAAUUAAGCUGGUGAGUUCAUAAGAUUUUAGUGAUGUGAGUAAGCUGUAAAGUGUUGUUGAAAAUGUUUAUGUAAAAGUGAUGUAAGUUGUAAAGUGUUGUUGAAAAUGUAUAUGUAAAAGUGAUGUAAGCUGUAAAGUGUUGUAGAAAAUGUAUACGUAAAAGUGAUGUAAGCUGUAAAGUGUUGUUGAAAAAUGUAUACGUAUAAGCAAUGUAAGCUGUAAGUUCUAUUUUGAAAAGUUCGCCUAUUCCUCUAGAAAAUCAUAUAUUUCCUACUUGAAUGAAAGUUAAGUAAAAUGACACUACAAGCCUUUCUAUGGGUACUAAGUGGGAAAAAGUUAUAUAUAACUCAGAGUAAACAAACAAUCGAUUGUGUGCAUCUGCCCUAAGCUCACAACCCAACGGGGAACAGAAAGUAAGGCAGAUAGCACACAUUCCAUUGGUUGUUAGAUCGUUAUCAUAUAUAACCCUAGUGUAUUCACUUGUUACUCAUUGAGUUAUUUGUAAUGGUUCCUUUAUAUCUAAUGAAAAGUUCUUUUAAGAAAACCUAUAUUUCUUAUAGUAAAAUAUUGACCACAGUGACUACUUUUAUAAUAGCUUUGUUUAUACUGCUAUAUAUAAUCUGAUAUCGGGUAGAAAGUUAAUUGGGUGAAUCUGCCCUAAGUCCACAACCCAACGGGGAACAGGAGGUAAGGCGGAAAACACACAUUUAACAACCUAUUGGGUAUUAGUUUUAUAUAUCAACAUGGUGUAUAAACUAAGGUAUUACAGAGUUACUCACCUAAAGUCUUUAAAAUCGUACUUGCUUAAUAAAAUGGAUUAAGCCCUUAUUUGGGAAAUUUCUAGUUUUGUAUACCAAAAGUACUGACUUUGAAAAGUAUGUUUUUGUACUAGAAAAACUGUGCUUUGACUAUGUGUCCUAUAACCUGAUCCAUACUUGGUACCCUUAUGAUGACUUAAUGUAUACUAGGCAUAUAUAUAUAUAUAUAUAGAUUCGGNNNNNNNNNNNNNNNNNNNNNNNNNNNNNNNNNNNNNNNNNNNNNNNNNNNNNNNNNUAAAUAUAUAUAGAUUCGGGUAGAUAAUAGAUUGGGUGAACUCGUUCCAAGCCCACAACCCCACGAGGACAGGAAAUGAAGCGAAGAGCACACAUCCUAUUAGCUGUCGGAAUCUAUUAGUAUAUAUGUAUCCUAUAGUGUAUACAUUAAGGAGUCAUAAGAUUAGCAUUAUGGUCCUAACUUUUAAAAGUAGCCUUCUACCAAGACUCAACUAUUUUGAAAGUAGCCUUCUACCAAGACCCGACUGUUUUGAAAGUAGCCUUCUACCAAGACCCGACUGUACGACUAUUAUUAAUUAAAUCUAAUCUACCUUAUCGAUUAUGUGAAUAUGGCACAUGGUAAAGGUAUUAAUAAUAUUGAAACUGGAAUUUUAUAUCCUUCUGUAAUUGUCGUACUGACAGUGUAAGUAUUGUAGUAUUUGUAAUAAGUGACUACUUUUAGUACUAUUUUGCCUUAGUUGAGGGUUAAGGCAUAAUGUGAUGGCUAGAUCCUAUGCUAAACGUUCCCUUGUCAAGAGAUUUUAGGAACUACACACGACCCCUGCAUGAGUGCAAGCCGCGAACAUCCACAUUACUAUGAUCAUGUAUACCUAAUAUAACUAUCACAAUGUAGGAGUGAUUCAUUGGUUUAGUUAGAUCCUGAAAACGUUCCAUGCUAUAGCACCUUAUUAUGUUUUGUUCUGUUAUCGUGUAUUAAUAUCGUAUUUAUGUAAAUGUAUUCAUGUAAGCGUAUCUAUGUAAAAGUAUCUAUGUAAACAUAUUUACGUAAACGUAUUUCAUUUGUAUAGACACAUGAACUGAACUGACUCUUUGUGUGCUUCAUUGUACUAGAAGUAAUGAAUAACAUUCUCCUAAACUAUACCUAUAAUAGUUUACUAAUAUUCUACCUGGACUGUUACAGAAAAGACUCAUUUAUCUACUAAGUUAUGCUUGUACUUUAAAAACAGAGUUUUGUAUAACUAUAAAGUAACAUAACCUUUAAAAGAGUUUUGAAAUGUUUUGACAACUUAUAAAUAACAUAAGUAACAUUUUGAAAGAUGUUUAUAAUAAACAUUUACACAAUUAUCAUUGUGUUCAACUUGUAUUCCCCCCUUAAAACAAUUAAAAUAAUUAAAAUAUUCAUUACGGGGUAUGAACUCACCUGAUGUGGGUGAUUCACACGGGUAUGCGCGUACAGAUGAGAAGUUCCACGAAUAAAGUCCCGAGACACAAUAAGUCCUAAAUGAUAUAUAAUGACACAUAUUGGCAUGAAUAUAGUGUUUAUAACAACUAUAUGAAAGGAAACACCUUCUGGGACUAGGAAACUGAUGGGUUUUGGUCAUAAGACAUCCUAUGUGCUCAUACAAACCCUAAUGCUUGGAUCUAGGUUUCUCUAUUGUACAUGCAAGUUAUCCAAGACUAUAAACCCUAAUUCUAGCAUUCAAAUAAUCAUAUUAACAUGAGAAUAAGUUUAUAAUGUUACCUUGAUUGUUAUGUAGCAAUAACAAUCCCAAUUCCUCCUUGAAUUGACUUUGGAAGGCUUAGAGUCACAAGUGUCACUCCUCUAAUGGUUCACAAACACCAUAAGCAAGAGGAUGAAGAAGAGAGAGGAUGGAGGCUACCAAAAACGUCUAUAAACCCUAGAGCAAGUCUUAGCCACGUUUUUGGUCCUUAAGGGAUCUAUAUAUAGUUAGGCUGUUAGGGUUAUCUAACAAGGAAAUCCUAAUUUGGUUACUUAAGCCCUAAGCAACCCAUGGACUCCUUUAAUCAAGCCCUUCGAAGAUUUCCUUAUGGGUUUCCCAUUAGAAUUCGUCCACCCCUUGAUUUAAGACAAUCCAUGGCCCAAAUUGCAAUUAUCUUAUAAUUACAAUUCCAGUCCCUUAAGUUUAAUUAAUCUCUUUUAGUCACAAAACUAAUUACCAAUUAAUUAUUGACUAAUAUUAAUUAAACAAUAUGAUUUCUCCUUUAAUAUAUUAUUCUCAUAAUAUAUUAAUAAAUCAUAUUUAAUCCUUUCUCUCCAUAAUUCAUCCUAUCAAGUUGCUUUGGUGAAGGCAACCCAAAAGGACCAUGCACCAUCGGGUCAAGUACAUACCAAAAUAGUUAUGGACUUAGACACUAAUCCAACAGUCUCCCACUUGGAUAAGUCUAAUAACUAUUUUGCGUAUGACUUCAGAUCCUGAUCUGCAAUCGUAGCUUUCCAAAGCCGCUGUCAACUCUGAUCCUAUCAGAUACGCGUGUCCUUAGAUAAGGGAUCAUAUAUUCCUCCAUUCUAGAUAUCAUAUGAGAUAUGAUUUCAAAUCAUUCUCUUUGUACUAUAUCUCGAUUCCCGAUUUAUGACGACUGACUAACUAAACAAAUCAAAUUAGCCCUAGCCCGGCCGAGCAUUUACGUUUGUCAUCACUAAAUCAUCGAGGGGCCCAAAGAUAUCACUUUUAUCCUACUUUGGAUAAAAGGAACGGAUAAACUUUGAUACAAUGCUUGCUUGCACUCACUCACCGAAUCACACACAACAAUAUGUUUUAUAACACCAAGUUACUAGUGCGUUUACAUAUUAUCAAUGUGCAACCGAUUUGCAAGAUACAACUCA